UUAGUAUUACUUAAUAGUAAUUGAGCCAUAUUAACAUAAUCCCCAAGCACUGACAAUGAAUAUCCAACAGACAGGACUGCUGGUCAAUAAGCCGUCAAUAUGUUGUAAAUAAUAUGUUUUAGUAGUUAUAACAAUGUAUCAAAUUGGCAUGCAGUUGAUCGAGCUAAGAAAGUCAUGAAGCUUGGAAAUGCCAUUUCCUGCACUUUCCGGCAC